GGAGGCAAGGGCUUUGGCUUAGAAUACUGGUUCAAACUCACAGGGGUAGCUGGUUGUGCCACCACUCGGAGGGAGAACAAGAGAUGUUACCCAAUAUCUUGGAGUCUCAGUUUCUUCCUUGAGAGGAGGAUUGACCAAACAAACUACUUUCCAAUGGGUGUGUUCAAUGGAGAUGUUCUUGGGAACUGGAAGGAUGCCAUUUUCCUAAGACAGGAUUGCAUUUGGAUUCUUUUUUUUAAAGGAGAAAAUAUAAGAACAAACAAUGCAGACCUGGUGUCCAUACAGGUAAGCUGAGGGACUCUUCCUGUGCUCUCAGAUAUGGUGGCCCGUGUAUGACUACCCACACAGAGUCAGGACACCAGGACUGCACAUCCCUUUAAGGCAGCAGAAGACUUGUGUGACGGCCUGUAACUGAACCAGUGGGAAGAGGAGGAAUUUUGAGAGAUGACAGAUACCAUGCAUUGAGGACGUAGAACCUGAAGCCUUCAGGACGGGCUGCGAUUGAUUACAGGAAUGAGCUGACUUCCUGGUUCAGGGACCGCCCAGCUGGUAAAGGAAAUGCAGAUUCUGGCCAUGUGCUGAUGGCCACCAGGAAGACUGCUGUUCAGAGCGUGUAACAGACACUCAUUCAUGCUAGAAGAAAUCCCAGCUGCCCACUCUUUUGGGAAUGAGAGGUUCGAGCCACAAACUGCACAAUGGAAGCAUGACUUGGGAGUCUUACUGAAUUCUCCUCCAGUGGCCAGGAAGAACAGCCUUUGCUAAUUACCUAGAGGAGGUGGGUAGACAAACUGUCCUUGGAUUAGAAAUCGCUGACUAGGGGUUGGGGAUUUGGCUCAGUGGCAGAGCGCUUGCCUAGGAAGCGCAAGGCCCUGGGUUCGGUCCCCAGCUCCGAAAAAAAGAACCAAAAAAAAAAAAAAAAAAAAAAAAAAAAAAAAAAAAAGAAAUCGCUGACUAGCGGGAUUUGGAGUCUCACAGAGAAAGCAUGUCCACUUUUGCAGGCUUUGAGCACAAAGCACUCCUUUACCCCUUCAGAGAGGAUCACAUGCACAGUGAUGCGUGUGCCCAGUCACCAUUAAUCCCAGACUACAAAAGCAACUUAUAUUUCUGAACGUCCCACCUGUCUGUCCCACCCCACAGUUCACAGGCCUCCGGAGACACGGACACAUACACCAUGAGAGGCAUGACACGCACGUAAGCACAUCCUGUGAUCAGCAUCACCACCUUUUGGCCCACAGCAGUGUUCAGACCUGUCGGCACCUGAAACCUUCCCUCCAAGUGUUACUGGCUUCCUGAGCCAACUGCAAGAUCAGACUGAUUUUGGCAAAAGCGAAGCGUUUGGGGGAGGUUCCCCAUUCUUUCAUCUGACCUGUAGAGCCACUUCUUGGCAGCAUCUACCCCCUUCCCACAGCAGGGCCUCCCGACCGUGGCUGUCCCCUGGCAGGGUGUGCGCUCCCUUCAGGUGGCUGUCACCCUUUCUGGGCUCAGGCACCUCCACCAGCUGCUCCAGCUGUGUUUGCCCUGUGUAUACUGGGAAGGUUUUAUGGGCCUAUUACACCCUAGGCCAUCCUUGACCCUGGAUCUAAGACUGUUCUUUCAUUCCAAAUGACAACAGUGCCUAGGUUUUCCCUGACAAGAAACAAACCGAACCCUGGUUCAAACAACACAAAACUAUCUUCCAAGUCGACAGCAGGUGGACCAAUGAGAAGACGGCUGUGACAGCUGGAAGGAGCACUCGCUGUUCUCAUGAGCUCUCAGGCUGCUCACCUGUGAACAGCUGGACACUCGAGGGAGUUACCACCUCAGGGGAAGCUAGUUCUACAACUGAAUCAGAGCCACGUGGGACAUACUCAUUGGGAAAGUGGUUCCUGACCUGCUGUGGCUGCAGCAGAGAAGGCGGCAGAAGCCUCCAGACCUGGAUGAGGAACAGAGCUGAAACCGACAAGAACUGCAGUGAAGCCCCUGCACCAUCUCCUGGCCUUUGAAGGCUCCAGAGCCCAGCCUUCCUACUGCGCAGUUAGUGGCUCUCCUGAAGAAUAGACAGAGUUGCCAAGAGUUACAGUCGCCCCACGCAAGGUCAGAAAAGGAGAAAAAAAAGAAUACUUAUCGGUGACAUUGGGAGUGUGAAGGUUUGCCAAUCCCGCAGAAGAUUCACUCCUUAGCAAUACAGCUGACAUUCUAAAAACAUCUUUCCAUUUUACACUGCAUUUUCUCCAGUGACACUUUUGAUUUUAUCAGUAGCACAGGAUGUUACGUACUAGAGACAAACUGCCCACCACCAAGCCACAGUAUUUCCACAGCAGUGAAAGAACAUUAGUCUGUCAGCUGCUUCCGAUGUUGAGAGUCAACACAGCUGAAAGAGGAAGGAAGUUGAAUACGGGCGUGGUAAAUUUAGUAAAGACUUUAUUGAGGAUCCAGCAGUGUCUAGGAUAGGUGUCAGGGGUACUUGUAAAAAUUAAGAAUGAAUAACUUGCCAGGUGGUGAUAGUGCAAACCUUUGAACCCAGCACCUGGGAGGCAGAGACGGGUGGAUCUC